rnacentral:piRNA from 1 species
UGAACUCCAUUUGGGAGUAGCCAGGGA